rnacentral:lncRNA from 1 species
GAGAGAGAGUGAGAGUGAAGGCUUAUCCCAUAGAGAGGAAGGACAGGAGACGGGAAGAGGAAGAACAAUUCGAUACAUCAAGUUGUGGUAUUUCAGUUCUUGAUUGAACUUGCAAGGUUGGUUUGCCAUGCAUGGUGGUGAGAAUUGGAUUUUGAAAUUUGUUUUUCAAUUUGAGUUGAACGAUUUGUGGGUUUUGAAGUAGUGGGUAGCUGAGAUUUAAGAGCAAUUAAUUGAAUUCAAUCAAGCAUGAUUCGAGUUGCAUGAUCCGAAAUCGAAAAAUCAGAUCAAAAAGAGAUGAUUAAAGUCCAUGAAACUUCAAUGCAUACAUUUAAUUAAGUUUAAAGAGAUGUACAAGUUCUUUGUCUAAUUAAUCGAAAAUACAACUUGGUGUGUUUAGAUCAAUUUGCAUUUGGGUAUUCAACAGAUUAUCAUGUCGAUUGGUUGACCUCUGUGUAAUUUCUUUGAAACUGACUUCAAGUGAAUCAUAUCAUUCCUGAGGUAUCAGGCAAGGUGUGUUACUGCACUCCUUUAAUGGCCAGAUUUCUUUGUAAGUACUAACAUUUACUCUAUAUCAUUUUUGGUUUUCCUGAAUGAAUACUUUUCAAUGUUUUGCAUGAAUUUACAUGAUUGCUUGAGAAAAUAAGAAGAAGAAGAGGAAAAGGGUUGAUGCCUGUUUGUCCAUUUAGGCAUGAUAUAUUUCUUCAUGAUAGUGUCCUCUUUUAGUUUUCCAUAAUUGCAGAUUCAUAAAGGUUUAUGUACGCAAGGGAUGCAUCAUUUUGAAAGACUCAUUUGAACUUCUGGAGCCAGUCAUCAGUUUUCCUUUGCUUUGUGUGCUUCUUCAGACAGUUUUUCAGGCAGUUACUAUGAGUACCUGACUCUGAGGCAUGGUUUUAUCUCGGAACAUUUAGCACCUGAGAUCAUUUAUUCUCAUGCUAAUGGGUGAGAGAAGAAGAUUUGGCAAAGGACUGGAAACUGCACUCGAAGCAUCUUCGUUCUACUUUACGAUUUUCUGAGGAGGUGAAACUGGUCACCCGACACCAUAGGAAGAAGGCAUAGAUGGACGGGGAGAUAUGAAGCUCAUUUAUGGAACAAAGGGUCUUUGAAUCCAACACAAAGGAAGAAGGGAAAAUAGGGGCUUAUGAAGAAUUUAUGGCAAAAGCAUAUGAGUUGGCAGCAGUCAAGUAGCGGGGAGCAUCAACUUUUACAAAUUUUCCGGUGUAGGAUUAUGAGAAUGAAAUUGAUCUGUUGAAACAUUAACCAAAAGAAGAGUACUUGGCGUCGCUAAGAAGCAAAUAUUCAUCUUCAAAUUAAUAAGCAGUUGAGCAGCCUACCUUAACUGUUGUAAAAAUUUCAAGAGAUGAAUUUGAUCCAUUUACUUACUAAUUAUUUGAUAGCUUUUUGUUCAAACCUGUUAAAUAUCAAAUUCAUACUAAAUUGCU